rnacentral:rRNA from 1 species
CCUACGGGUGGCUGCAGUGGGGAAUAUUGCACAAUGGGGGAAACCCUGAUGCAGCGACGCCGCGUGAGUGAAGAAGUAUUUCCGUAUGUAAAGCUCUAUCAGCAGGGAAGAUAAUGACGGUACCUGACCCAGCCCCCCCGGCUAACUACGUGCCAGCCGCCGCGGUCAUACGUAGGGGGCAAGCGUUACCCGGAUUUACUGGGUGUAAAGGGAGCGUUGACGGCAGCGCAAGGCUGGAGUGAAAUCCCAUGGCUUAACCAUGGAACUGCCUUGGAAACUGUGCAGCUGGAGUGCAGGAGAGGUAAGCGGAAUUCCUAGUGUAGCGGUGAAAUGCGUAGAUAUUAGGAAGAACACCAGUGGCGAAGGCGGCUUACUGGACUGUAACUGACGUUGAGGCUCGAAAGCGUGGGGAGCGAACAGGAUUAGAUACCCGAGUAGUC